UUUUAACACCGAGAAAAGCUGUGUGACUGGGUGAGCGCCUCAAACUGUCGCCUCAAAUCGUCACCUCAAGUUAAAUCAGCCCGAGCCGAGCCGCCCGCAUUGCUUUCCACGCAGCCCCCCCUCCCCACCCCGCCGCCCCGAAGCGCAGCGAUGCCGGGACGGGCUCAGCGAUGCCGAGCGGGGAGAGGCCGCCAGCAGACCCGCCCGCGGGGACCAGGUGACGCCCCGGGGACCGGGACGCGUCCCCCGGCCGUCCCUAAACUACAAUAACAAUCGAAAAGAAAGAGGAGAUGAAGAGGAUGGCUGGUGCAGCAGGAGAGUGGACCCAAUGUGUGGCAGAGGCAAUGAUGACUGGAUGCAGAAGCUAUGCUUGAGUGGUGACCUGCCGGAAAUGAUCUAGUUACGUAGGGUGGCCUCAUCCACAAAGUGAAGAUGUGCCUGGCUGCAGUGUCAGUUCCCAAAUAGAGGUGACGGACACAGUGGGUGGGAGGAUGAUUUGCAACCAGUUGCACAGACAGGUAAAGACCUGCUGUAUCGCCCCUGGUAUCAAUACAGGCUGCGGGAUGAAGAGGUUGAGAGCAGUUCUGAGGAGAAGGACUUCGGGGUAUUGGUGGAUGAAAAGCUGGACAUAACCCAGCAAUAUGCGCUCACAGCCCAGAAGGCCAACCGUAUCGUGAGCCGCAUCAAAAGAAGCAUGGCCGGCAGGUUGAGGGAGGUGAUUCUGCCCCUCUGCUCUGCUCUGCUGAGACCCCACCUGGAGUGCUGCAUCCAGCUCUGGAGCCCUCGGCACAGGAAUGACGUGGACCUGUUGGACUGGGUCCAGAGGAGGCCACAAAAAUAAUCAGAGGGAUGGAGCACCUCUCCUAUGAGGAAAGGCUGAGAGGAUUGGAGUUGUUCAGCUUGGACAAGAGAAGGCUCCAGGGAGACCAUAUUGCAGCCUUUUAGUACUUAGAGGGGGCUUAUAAGAUGGGGACAAACUAUUUAGCAGGACAAGGGGUAAUGGUUUUAAAGUAAAAGAGGGUAGAUGUAGACCAAAUAUAAGAAAUAAAUUUUUUUACAAUGAGGAUGGUGAAACACUGGCACAGGUUGCCCAGAGAGGUGGUGGCUGCCCCAUCCCUGGAAACAUUCAAGGUCAGGUUGGACGGGGCCCUGAGCAACCUGAUCUAGUUGAAGAUGUCCCUGCUCACUGCAGGGGGGUUGGACUAGAUGACCUUUAAAGGCCCCUUCCAACCCAAACCAUUCUAUGAUUCUAUGAUAUAUAAGGCCUAGGAUCAGACAAAAUAUUUCCAGUGAAGGUAUGCAAAUUAAUACUGUUGUACUGUUGCAUCACACUUGGGAUAUCUUAGGGAAUUAUGAUCACCCACGUUCAAGAAGAAUUAAUUCAGAUUUAAACAGAGCAGAGGCCUCUGGGGAAUGGAGAGCUUAUCUGAGACACAUAGAUUAGAAGGGUUUGAUUUGUUUAACCUAGCAAAAUAAGAUGUGAGACAGUUCUAAGCAUAUCAGGGAUGUUAAUGGAUGGAAUUGUCACAAAAGGAAACAAGCGUAAGCAAGAUACAAAUCAGUAUAGGCUGGAAAACUGGAACAUAGUUUCUAAUCAUUAGGUAUGGAAACAGCCUUCUGUUAGGACAGCAGAGGGAGAAGAUGCAAUUGAUUUAAAAGUAGAGCUUGGCAGAUUUAUGAAAGUAGUUCCAUGACGAUCUUGCCUGCAAAAGGCAGGAGGAAUGGAUUUGAUGACCUGUGCAACCUGUACUAUGUUCUUAAGAGGACUGUAAUCAAAGGAUAAAGCAAAUAAACAUGGAAAAGAGGUUUAAAGGAUAGAGAGGAGAAUCAGAUACAGCACUUAGGAUGAGUUAAAAUGCUUGAAUCACAACAAUCAAAGAAUUAACCCAUUUUACGGGCAAGGUGAGACAUGAUCUGUGAUUUGGACCCAAGUAAGGAGGAACUAGAGAUGUCCUCGUGCCAAGGUUGUGUUCAUCCAAAGCAGGUACUAGGGAACGGGCUGGCAAAAGACAAGAGAAAGAAAGACAAGGGAUAAAGAAAUGAGAUAUGUGACUAGGAAUCAAUAUCAAAGCACGGAAGAGAAUUCAAGAUCAAAGUAGACAAAGGAGACAUGGAGAAAAGGAAGAAUCUAACACUGGUAGAAAGCCAUUCUUGUGGGGCCCUCUGGUUCCAGGGUCACUGAGUAUUGUCGUUUUAAAGGCUGAUAUGCUAACAGAUGCAGAUAACUGCAGGUCAGGAAGUAAUCCUGUAAAAUUAAAAGGGGAAAGAAAGGAAAAAUAAUCGAAAGAACAGGGGGGAAUAGGAUAGACCUGGUUCUAGCUAGUAAAGAGAGGGUAAAUACAAUAGUUCGACAGGAAAGGCUGUGUAGAGAAGGAUGGCAAUAGCAGUCACUGCAUCCUGAAGAGGCUAUAGAGUCAAGAGCAGUGUUGUUACAGUCUGAUAGCUAUGAAUGGCAUCAGGACGGAGCCUGUUUCAGAAUGGAGCUAAUUUUGUUUCAAACCCUCCAUUUUACCUUGCUCACCACACCUGUAAUCAGUCAGACUAUGAAUCUCAUGCACCCAACCCACCUACUGCCAUUAUUUUUAACUCUUACAAAGCUAAAUGCUUAUCUGUUAACACCUUGCUAUUGGUACUUGUGCAUAAGGAACAGACAGGAGUCAUGGUCUUGCCUGAUAUUGGAUUUUGUAUGCCCUUUGUAAGUGCCACUCCUUUCUUGUCUUGACUUCUACUAACUUCCUUUUAAGCCAUUGUCCUUUCUGGUUAUGCUGCUACUUUAAGUGGCUUUUGUUUUCAUUCUGGUCCUGUUAGAAAGAAACAAUUUGGAGAGCAAUGGCGGUGACAUUAUGUUAGCUUAUGUUUAGCUAAGAAUAUAAAUCAGAAAGCAAAUAUUGUUGCUCGUCCAUAAUUAAUUUUUACAACUGAAGCCUUUAUAUACUCUCCAUAAAUAAUAUACCUGUUGCAAAGCAUUUUGUGGCUCUAUUUUCAGAGAAUCAGAUAGCUGACAAAAAACUUACUGAUUUUCAUAGCUACUCAUUACAGAAAAACUAGAACUUACUCUGAAAUGACACAUAAUCAUUUCAGGUUUAGAAAGCAUUUAAAAAUAGUCUCUAUCAUUCAUUUAUUUAGGAGGUCUGUUGCAUGUGAGAAACUGCCAAAAUUGUUAAAACCGAUUAAUAAGAAGAGUUAACUAAUUUUGCCCUGAAGUAUAACUUUGCCUCUCAUGGAAUGGUGAUGAGGAUUGUUUGGCUGAAUCAUCAGUGUGGGUUUUAUGUUUCCCUGCCAGCCGUUAAUGAAUUGUAAAAAAUAAAAAUUAAAUAAUAAUAAUAAAACAGAAGAUUAAACCAAUUCUGUAGAAUUAUAUUGACUUGCCUUCCUAAAAAUGGAUAUUACUGCAAAACAUGCAGUCAGGGAGAGAAACAGAUGGAUGAUAUCUGACAAAUAAAAUUUCCAGAUACUGCCCCAUCUGUUUCCUUCUACAUGUUUCAGCGAUAAGCUUUUUAGCAUUAUAGAGUUGCUUAGGCAAUAUUCCUCUUUGCAGUGACGUCACACCCAAAGACUGGCAAAAGCAAGUUGACACAGUAAUCUGAGAGCAAGGAUCAGUUCACUAAAUUAUUGCCAAUUUAUAUCCUAAAAAGUACAGGCAUUAAAUUUCCCUCUUUUGUAAUGGAAAGAUUUUAUCUUCAAUAAAUUGUUUGAUAAACUCUUUGGUUUGCUUCUGAAAUUCUUUUACGGAAAUAGUAAAACCAGAAAAAUUAGAGAAAUAAAGUAAAAAUGUGCAGAAAACAUUGUUUCACAAAGAUAGUAAGAGAGAUAUAAGUACACUGGUGGCAUUAGGUCAUUGUCAGUUAAGAUGUGAGGAGUUCCUGAUGAUCUCCUGUAGAUUUGAAGGCCAUAUUACUUUAUCUGGUAAACUAUAAGUUUUUAGUUCCUCUGCCUAAGCGUUAUUAUGUUUUCUUCACUCCCUGAUACAUUUCUAAACAAAGAUUAUUUUUCCUCUCUGAGAUUCUCAAUGACUUAAUUUAUGAAAGAAAAAUGAGUUAGGAAUAUUGCUACAUUUUACAAAACCAGAAUUGAUUGACUAGGAACUACCAUGGAGGAUAACCAUACACGCUGUCCAAAAGGCAACACAGUCCAGACUCCUCCUUCCUGACUUCAAGGAAUUAAAAUGGGUGUUAGUUUAGAAAAGUAUUUAGAGAAAUGUCUUUCAUUCCCUGGCUAUUCAUGGAGACAACUGAAAUGAGUGUAAAGUCUUAGAAUCAAUCAGAUAUUACAUGGUUAAAGUUACACACAUGACUACAUGUUACUGAGCCAGCUGUAGUGUGGCUUGAUAUGCUAAGAUAAAAUCUGGCAUUUUUCUGGAUCAAGGCUUUUAGAACUCUGCAUCAUAGAGUAGUUGAAGCUGAUGGCAAUUUUGGCUUAGCAUAGAAAUGCUUAUGACUAACUAGAAAGCAAAUCAUUAAAAAAGGAAAAUUAAAAGAAAGAGAAAUAAAGAAAGGGGGAGGAGAAAGGAGAAAAGAAAAGAAAAGAAAAGAAAAGAAAAGAAAAGAAAAGAAAAGAAAAGAAAAGAAAAGAAAAGAAAAGAAAAGAAAAGAAAAGAAAAGAAAAGAAAAGAAAAGAAAAGAAAAGAAAAGAAAAGAAAAGAAAAGAAAAGAAAAGAAAAGAAAAGAAAAGAAAAGAAAAGAAAAGAGAAAAGAAAAGAAAAGAAAAAGAAAA